rnacentral:rRNA from 1 species
CAAGUCGUACGAAGUGGCCCAUUGAUGAUUGAGUGCUUGCACAAGAUUUGAUUUGGAUUCCCACUUAGUGGCGCAAGGGUGAGUAACGCGUAGGUUAUCUGCCUUCGAGUUUGGAAUAACAAUUAGAAAUGAUUGCUAAUGCCGGAUUAUAUUUAAGAUGAUACGUUGUCUUAAAUUAAAAGGAGCCUUUAAAGCUUCGCUUGAAGAUGAGCCUGCGUCGUAUUAGCUAGUUGGUGGGGUAAUGGCCUACCAAGGCAACGAUGCGUAGCCGACCUGAGAGGGUGAUCGGCCACACUGGGACUGAGACACGGCCCAGACUCCUACGGGAGACAGCAGUUAGGAAUAUUCGUCAAUGGGGGAAACCCUGAACGAGCAAUACCGCGUGAAGGAUGACGGUCCUUUGGAUUGUAAACUUCUGUUGUUAGGGAAGAACAAGCUGUAUAGGAAAUGAUACAGUUCUGACGGUACCUUUCAAGAAAGCUCCGGCUAACUACGUG